AACCAAUUAUUUUUGGCGCCUGAUCUAUUUAGACUCUGUUCUGUCUCUCACACACACAGACACACGAUGUCAUAUACACUUCUGUGUCAAACACUAGUAAACCUCACCCUCACCAUCCCUGCUAACAGUUACCAUCGAACUUCCACCAUCGACAUCGCGGCUCUCGCUACCGCCGCUCACCAUCACGGCUCUCGCUACCGCCGCUCACCAUCGCGGCCUCCCUCCCAGCCACAUUCAGGUACUCAAUCAAUGCUAUAUUAGAUGCACUGCUAAUGAAGAAGUUGGCUACUGGGCAAUUGUUUGUGGGACAGAAACUUAGGUUUAUGUUGUCAUCUGAACAUCUGGGGAGCUGAAUUAAGUGGCUGGGCUGGGCCUGUUUCACCUCUUGAGUGUUAAGCAUCUAGCACCGUUGGUCUUCUAAUGCACAUGAAUGGGACAUAUAGAGCUCAUUGGGCUGAUCGUUUGGGGUUAUGUAAGGGUGGUGGUGCUCCAUUAGCAUUUUGAUGUAUCAAGGGUAUGGGAGGUCCAGUUCCUAGCACAUUAAUUGGAGUCACACGGAUAUACCCUGUUCUCUACAGGGAAAGGUUAAGUAAUGGGGGAUUUAUUGUGAGAUCAGAGAGAAUGGAAGCUAAAAUGAUACAAUUAUACAAACAGAGGGAUUGUUGAUUUUUGGUAGCUUAUGGAUUGUUUUGGUGACUGCAUUUUGCAUUCCUGUUUCCAAAAACUCGAUUAGAAAGGCCAUGAACAUAUCUGCACAGAUUAUCAGAUUUGGUGCUGUUCUAUGUAUACAUUUUUCAUUUUUGUUCAACAACUUUCAAUUCCUUGAAUUUUUUUCCCCUUUUCCCUUUUUCCAUUUCACGCAGAGAAUAUCUGCAAAGGAUGCCCUUGAUGCUGAAUAUUUUUGGACUGACCCCUUACCUUGCGAUCCUAGAAGUUUGCCUAAAUAUGAAUCAUCACACGAGUUCCAGACAAAGAAAAAAAGGCAGCAGCAGCGACAAAAUGAAGAGAUGGCAAAGAGACAGAAAUUGCAGCACCCACAACAACAUGCUCGUCUGAUUGCUUGCUUUUGCAGGCAUGAUAAAGAAGGGAAUGCUGGAUUUGUAGUUUUUGAGUUUGUGGAUUAUGCUUUGCAUCCUUGUCCAGCUGUGUGGCUCGGGAACACAAGUUUUCUGAUGAGAGCAACAUCUUGAGAAUGAAAGUGGUUCAGAUUUGGACACUAAGGAUGUCGCAACCACUGUUUUCUUAGGUAGCUAUCAUUUUAUCUUUUGACAAAUGGCUUUACAGUGUAAGCCAAUCUGUAGAAGUUCACCUGGAUUGGGGAUAAAGGUUAAUUGAGAUUUGGGAUGGAAUUUCACCCACAACUUGAUUAUAAAAUGUUCUGAGUUUGUCUCAUUGUGUUGAUUUAUGGAUUGACAGAAAAAAAAAAAAAACAAA